rnacentral:misc_RNA from 1 species
GUCAGAACCUCCUGCAGUACUACUUCAUACCCUCGCCUCUGUUACAAUUCGCUGUCGGUGUACGCCGGCAAGAUCAAGACCAACCCCAAGACGCUGGCUCUCGCCGCCCUCCAUGUCAACCUCGCCGCCGCUCGAUCCUCAGCGGCAUCAAUGAGAAGGUUGGCGAAAACCCACGGCCUGCGGCGGAGAGAGGCGUCGGCGAUCUCCGAUUGCGUGGAGGAGGUUGGGGAUUCGGUUUUUGAGCUUCAGAGAGCGAUUAGGGAACUGGGUCGGCCACGAGGGUACGAUUUUGGGGGUUUGAUUAGUGAUAUUGAGACGUGGGUUAGCUCUGCUCUGACCGACGAAGAGACG